rnacentral:rRNA from 1 species
CCUACGGGAGGCAGCAGUGAGGAAUAUUGGUCAAUGGACGAGAGUCUGACCCAGCCAAGUAGCGUGAAGGAUGACUGCCCUAUGGGUUGUAAACUUCUUUUAUAUGGGAAUAAAAUGUUCCACGUGUGGGAUUUUGUCUUUACCAUAUGAAUACGGAUCGGCUAACUCCGUGCCAGCAGCCGCGGUAAUACGGAGGAUCCGAGCGUUAUCCGGAUUUAGUGGGUUUAACGGGAGCGUAGGUGGAUUGUUAAGUCAGUUGUGAAAGUUUGCGGCUCAACCGUAAAAUUGCAGUUGAAUCUGGCAGUCUUGAGUACAGUAGAGGUGGGCGGAAUUCGAGGUGUAGCGGUGAAAUGCUUAGAUAGCACGAAGAACUCCGAUUGCGAAGGCAGCUCAAUGGACUGCAACUGACACUGAGGCUCGAAAGUGUGGGUAUCAAACAGGAUUAGAUACCCGAGUAGUC